rnacentral:rRNA from 1 species
CCUACGGGAGGCAGCAGUAAGGAAUAUUGGACAAUGGACGCAAGUCUGAUCCAGCCAUGCCGCGUGAAGGAUUAAGGCCCUCUGGGUUGUAAACUUCUUUUAUAGGGGACGAAAAAAGGGCUUUCUAGCUCGACUGACGGUACCCUAUGAAUAAGCACCGGCUAACUCCGUGCCAGCAGCCGCGGUAAUACGGAGGGUGCAAGCGUUAUCCGGAUUCACUGGGUUUAAAGGGUGCGUAGGCGGGUAGGUAAGUCAGUGGUGAAAUCUUCGAGCUCAACUCGGAAACUGCCAUUGAUACUAUUUAUCUUGAAUAUUGUGGAGGUGAGCGGAAUAUGUCAUGUAGCGGUGAAAUGCUUAGAUAUGACAUAGAACACCAAUUGCGUAGGCAGCUCGCUACACAUAUAUUGACGCUGAGGCACGAAAGCGUGGGGAUCAAACAGGAUUAGAUACCCUGGUAGUCCACGCCCUAAACUAUGAUUACUCGACAUAUGCGAUACACUGUAUGUGUCUGAGCGAAAGCAUUAAGUAAUCCACCUGGGAAGUACGACCGCAAGGUUGAAACUCAAAUGAAUUGACGG